UCGACUGAGAUAUCCCUAGAAACAGCGAUCACAAUGAAAAAACUGAAACAAUAAAGAGAACAAUUGAUUUGCACCACAACAAUAAAAUAAUUUAUUAUUAAAAUUCUUGCUUUGUGUGCCGUGAUUUAAACUUGAAAUUCUGUCGGUUUGUUACAUAAAUAAACAGAUCAAUAGCUUUUAUUUGUAUACAAAAGCUGGCCGCGAGUGUAAACAAAAAAGCUACCGAAAGGAAAAUCUCGUUUGCAGUCGAGACGAUGAAAGAAAGUAGAGAUGUGAAAAAAUGUUUUUGAUUACCUUUAUAUGGCUUCUGGAACAUUAUCAACAACCUUCGAUUUGAAAUUGGAAAAAACAUCGUAUCCUCACGCACAGCGAUAGCGUUUGUUGUCUGAGUCUUUUGCUUAACCCAUUCGUCGCAUUUCACCCGUAAAAC
rnacentral:sRNA from 1 species